GAACAGUAAAAUAAAAGGUUUAGGAUUUUUACCUAAACUUCCUUAGACAUCACACCCAAGGCUCCAUAGGCAUCACACCUAGGGUUGAAUUGCAUCAAACAGCUCGAAUCAUAAUUGUAGAAUUCAUAUUGAUUAAAAACUUCGAAACAAUAUUACAAAUGUUAGUAUUUAUAGACUCAAAAAGUAAUUCUUAUCCUUCAAUGAUUUGGAUUCAAAAAAAGUAAACCUUUAGUAAUCCAAAAAGUAAUCGCAAAAAAGUAAUCCGUAAGGAACAAGAACCCAAGUAAAGACUCCCAUAGAAAAAUCUAGAUCUGUUUAGAAAAUCUGAAAUUACAAAAAUUCCGUGUCUUCUACAAAGUGAAAAUUCUAAAAAUUUUAUAGGCAAUCAAAACAAUACUAGUUAAGCUUGUAUUUAAGUUCCCAACAAUGCAUUUCGCCAUCAAAGUGCCAAAUAAGUUUUGAAUUAGCUUGGGCAUGUCUUUUCUACAUAUGUUUCCAUCAUACUCCAUCAUUUGUUUACGAACCAUAAGUGAAUAAAAAAUAUAUAAGAAAAAGGAAAAACCACAAUCAUGGAUUUCCAAUCCCAAAUUUACAAGGGGAUGGAAAAUGGAGUAACUAUGGUAAAUAAAUGGAUGUGGAGGUGGUUGCACAAUUAACAAAGUCCUGCAAGAGCUGAAGGUAGUAGCCCAUCUUUGAGUGAAGUUUAAUGGUGGAAUGAAGGAGUGCAAUGAGCUAGAUGUUAUAGAAUUCGACCUAAAUGCUAAAGAGGAGAUAUUGUUGAUUAGUGUAUGCUAUUCAAAAAAGAGGUUGGGAUAUGAUUAGUGACGCUAGAAUCAAAUUUCUGAAAAAGCUUUGGACAGUAGAAGAGGGGAAGAAUGACUACAGAUUAGUGUGGAUAAAGGGAAGGAAAUGUUGAGAUUUUAAUCAACUCAAUGUUAAAAAAAUAAAGAUCUUAAAAUUGUGAUUGUGGGGGAAGAAAUUAAGGAAAGGUGAAGUUAUUUUGAUAAGCUCUUUUAUGGAAGCCACAAGGAUAAUCUUGUUGAAUUUAAAUGUCAAAUCUAUUUGGGGUAUUAAUGAGUUUGGAAACUUUAAGAAAAAUGAAGAUAGGAAAACACAUGGCCUUCAUGGGAUUAUUACAAAUGUGACCUCUAAUAUAUAGUUAGUUUUUGUUAUUUUCCCAAUGUUUAAAAUCAAUUUGAGGCCUCAGCAAUUUAAGAAUUUCAAUCAAUGCUAAUGGUCCCAAAUUAACUGAAAAUGAUGUAUACAAAUUGUGAGCAACGAAGUGAUUUGUUCAUCUAAGAAGUAAACAGAUACAAGGAUGCUAAAACUUAUGUGUGAAAGUACAAGAAAUGUCCAGAUAAAUAGUACAAUUGUAUGAUUAUGGAAACAGGAUCCAUUUGAGGAAUAGUGAGGGAUGGAUGAUUGAGAUGUUUAGAUCAGCUCUUGUGAUGUAUCAUUAGAUGUGCUAGUACAGAAGAUUUGACACAUACAAAUUACAAGGUUGACGAAAACAAAAGGUGAUACAAUGUCAAGUUAACCAUAAGGAUUUAGCAUCACUAGAAUUUUUAGAAUGUGCUGAAUGGGGAAAAAGAGAUCUAUACAGUACUUCAACCAGAUUGAGAUUGAGGUGCUGAGUUGAUUGCUAUUAUUGUCAUGCAGUCUGUGUGUGUUUUCUUAAAACUAUUUUCUGAAUCCUUAUAAUAUCUUCUCUUCUUCUAAUCUUCUGUCCUCCUCAAACCAAACACCCCCUCCCCUUGCUUUUUACUACAUUGUGUUGACAAAUUAAGUAUAUGUUUGUCAAACCAUGUACAAAUAGGGCACGGUUCCACAUUCCUUGUUUGACGCAUUCAAAUACCUUUGCCAUAGAAGCAUAUUGCAUUUUAAGCAACCUAUCGUGGUGGUAUCAUCUUGUGGUUCUAUAUUAGUUUUAAUUUCUGGAACUAAAAUUGAUGUGUUUUUCCGUUAGGGUUCUUGUGGUUCUGUUUACAUUUUGUCAUAUUGGACGAGAGCAUUACAUUUAAUUAUCUUGUAUCCUUUGGAAUGUAUAUUUUCUCUUUUCAGAAUAGUUGUCUUCUUCUAUUCAUCUUUAUCUUGCAUAUGACAAGUCUUACCAUAGUUUAUAAAUUUUAUAUG
rnacentral:misc_RNA from 1 species